CUCUCUCUAUCUCUCUGCCCUGAUUUCGCUCAAAAAUAUGAUAACAUGGGGGCUGAAAUGGCUGACCUUGUUCAGGUGAUACCUCUUACCACUAACUCCAUCUCCAAUGCAUUUUGAACUUGCUCCUCUUUCUAGACUGUUAACAUGCCACACAGAUUUUUGUACCUGAGUCCAUCACACAGCUAACUUCCUUUCUGAAUGUAGGGGGUUUGAUUGGAUUACCGCAUCGGAUAGAGAAAUUUGAUUCUUCAAAAGGGUACAAAAUAUCAACUUAUGUAUAUUGGUGGAUUCGUCAGGUCAAGGGCAUUGAGUACAGAGUAUAACUCUCUCCCAAACGAAUCUUCCCAACCAUUUGACUGUGAUUGAGAUGAAUUUGUGUAAGCUAUCACUCCUCAUAUCUCUUUCCCUUUGUUCCAUUUAACAUGAUUCUCUGAUUCAUAUGUAGUUUUUCUCAUAGAUGACAUUGCUAACUCGAAGAGGUUAAAACCUCUUAAAAUCCCUCAUUGAGUUGAUUUUAUCUAGUUUUCUUAAUCAUAAGAAGCAUAUGAUUGAUUGAUGUCUUUGGUUUCAUUGCAUGGUCUCGAGAGCUGAUGCGAAUCCUACGCAAUUGAGGAAUUCAUGGUUUCUACACGAUUGAUGACAAGCUUGACAUGCACAAGCUGGUGCUUUUGUUCCACCAGCCUUUAUGUGUGCACAUUCUUAUUGCUUAUUUUCUAGUUGCAUGAUCUAUGACAUUGUUUCUAAGCUAGGAACAGCCACAUGCCAUUUCUUCUUUUCCUUCUUAUAUUUAUGUCACUUCUUCUGACAUAGGGAAAAGAGGUAAAAAUAACAAAUUGAGAAGUCAUUUCUAGUUCUGCCUUUUCAGAGACCUAUGGAUAGAACUUCUCUCGAUUGGUAGCUGUGGCGAGGCAAGAAGGCGGGUGUCCAUUCUAUCAUGUCCAUGUUAUCAAUAAUAAUAAACACAUGGGGCUGUCUGUCCCGCUGGAAAUUUAAUUUCCAUUGGAUGGGUUAGGUGUUUUGUGCUUGUUACCUCUUGCUGUUGGGAUGGCGACCCGUUUUAAAGUCCAAAAGCUGAUAACCCACAACCCAUGAAAUAAAAUAAUCCGUUUGCCUUCACGGAAAGGACUGAGUUGUGAGAAAAAUGAAGCUCAGAUCCAGCAUCAUCAUCGCUGUGCUCGUUCUUCUCCAUGUAGCCCACCUAAAUUCAUCAGCAUUUAAUGGUUUGAAACUCUUAUUAUUAUUAUCUUUUUAAUCUUCUCCUUUUGUUGUGUUUAGUUGUACCAAAAAUAAUUAAAUUUCAUGAUAUCUGGUGCAACCAAAUGCACCCUUUAUUGCCUUUUA